CAGGGAGACAACAAAAUGUUAAAUAUUAAUUUUGUCACCUUAGGUCGAUCGGUAUCUCACAUUCUUAAUUUUUUAAGAAUUUUAUUUCCUAAGUUUUUCUAGGUCACACCCAUUAUUUUCCUGGGCCAUUAGCUCAGGUGGUUAGAGCGCACCCCUGAUAAGGGUGAGGUCCCUGGUUCAAGUCCAGGAUGGCCCAUAUCUCUAUGUUGGGGGUAUAGCUCAGUUGGUAGAGCGCCUGCUUUGCAAGCAGGAUGUCAGCGGUUCGAGUCCGCUUACCUCCACUGAUUACCACCUCUCCCAUAAUUUAUACAAGGGAAAUUUUGUGUUGUGAUCAAAUUCGGAACGAAUCUAGCUUCCUAAUCAAACUUAUUAAGAUGCUGGACUCAUUGAAUUAAAUUCAUUGUUUUCAGAGAACCUUGACAACUGCAUAGAUUAUUUUUAAAGACAAUAAGCAUCUUUAAUGAUGCAGAUUUAUUAUUUGUGCAAAUGCAUUAAUAACAAUUCUAUUAAGCUGAUGCUUCAAUUUAAAGAAGUUAUU
rnacentral:tRNA from 1 species